rnacentral:rRNA from 1 species
UACGUAGGGCGCAAGCGUUGUCCGGAAUUAUUGGGCGUAAAGAGCUCGUAGGCGGUUUGUCGCGUCUGGUGUGAAAACUCAAGGCUCAACCUUGAGCUUGCAUCGGGUACGGGCAGACUAGAGUGCGGUAGGGGUGACUGGAAUUCCUGGUGUAGCGGUGGAAUGCGCAGAUAUCAGGAGGAACACCGAUGGCGAAGGCAGGUCUCUGGGCCACUACUGACGCUGAGGCACGAAAGCUAGGGGAGCAAACAGG